AACAAACGCUGGCGGCGUGCCUAAUACAUGCAAGUCGAACGGGGAAAGCUUUCGGGUGAGUACUAGUGGCGCACGGGGGAGUAACGCGUGGAUAAUCUGCCUUAGAGUGGGGGAUAACUAGUCGAAAGAUUAGCUAAUACCGCAGAAGACCUCAAGAACUGCGGUUCAAGGGGUCAAAGGUUUCUCGCUCUAACAUGAGUCCGCGUAAGAUAAGCUAGUUGGUGAGGUAAUGGACCACAAAGGCGACGAUCUUUAACUGGUCUGCGAGGAUGAUCAGUCACACUGGAACUGAGACACGGUCCAGACUCCUACGGGAGGCAGCAGUAGGGAAUAUUGCACAAUGGAGGAUACGCUGAUGCAGCGACGCCGCGUGAGUGAUGAAGGCCUUCGGGUCGUAAAGCUCUGUCGCAAGGGAAUAACACAAUGAAUGUACCUUGCAAGAAAGGAUCGGCUAACUUCGUGCCAGCCGCCGCAGUAACAC
rnacentral:rRNA from 1 species